rnacentral:ncRNA from 1 species
CAGAGACUUGGUCCUAAUCUUACUGUCAGCUCUAGCUAAACUUACACAUGCAAGUAUCUGCCCCCCCGUGAGGAUGCCCAGACUGUCUCCCACCUACUGGAGACGAGGAGCUGGUAUCAGGCACAGGCCCUGCCUAGCCCAUAACACCUUGCUAAACCACACCCCUAAGGGACUUCAGCAGUGAUAAACAUUAAGCAAUAAGCGAAAGCUUGACUUAGUUAUGGCUUACAGGGCCGGUAAAACUCGUGCCAGCAACCGCGGUUAGACGAUUGAGCUCAAGUUGACAGACCACACGGCGUAAAGAGUGGUUAAGGAGCGCCCCCCCCAGUAAAGUCGAAUGCCUUCAAGACUGUUAUACGUCCCCGAAAGUUAGAAGCCCACCUACGAAAGUGGCUUUACCCCCCCCCCCGACUCCACGAAAGCUGUGAAACAAACUGGGAUUAGAUACCCCACUAUGCACAGCCGUAAACUAUGAUAGAUUUAAACACCCCCUAUCCGCCCGGGUACUACCAGCACCAGCUCGAAACCCAAAGGACUUGGCGGUGCUUUAGAUCCACCUAGAGGAGCCUGUUCUAGAACCGAUAACCCCCGUUCAACCUCACCCUCCCUUGCUCCUUUCCGCCUAUAUACCUCCGUCGUCAGCUUACCCUGUGAAGGCCCUAUAGUAAGCGAAACUGGCAAAGCCCAACACGUCAGGUCGAGGUGUAGCUCAUGAGAGGGGAAGAAAUGGGCUACAUUUCCUGAUCCAGGACAUACGAAUUGUGAACUGAAAUAUAUACUUUUGAAGGAGGAUUUAGUAGUAAGCAAGAAAUAGAGUGUCCUGCUGAACUUGGCCCUGAAGCGCGCACAUACCGCCCGU